AUUGAACGCUGGCGGCAGGCCUAACACAUGCAAGUCGAACGAGCGGCGGACGGGUGAGUAAUGUCUGGGAAUCUGCCCGCUGGCGGGGGAUAACUACUGGAAACGGUGGCUAAUACCGCAUACUAUCGGCUGCCCCCAAAUGGGAUUAGCUAGUAGGUGGGGUAACGGCUCACCUAGGCGACGAUCCCUAUCUGGUCUGAGAGGAUGAUCAGCCACACUGGGACGGAGACACGGCCCAGAAUCCUACGGGAGGCAGCAGUGGGGAAUAUUGCACAAUGGGCGCAAGCCUGAUGCAGCCAUGCCGCGUGUAUGAAGAAGGCCUUAGGGUUGUAAAGUACUUUCAGCGGGGAGGCGUUACCCGCAGAAGAAGCACCGGCUAACUCCGGGCCAGCAGCCGCGGUAAUUC
rnacentral:rRNA from 1 species